AUUGAACGCUGGCGGCAGGCCUAACACAUGCAAGUCGAACGGUAACAGGAAGCAGCUUGCUGCUUUGCUGACGAGUGGCGGACGGGUGAGUCAUGUCUGGGAAACUGCCCGAUGGAGGGGGAUAACUACUGGAAACGGUAGCUAAUACCGCAUAACGUCGCAAGACCAAAGAGGGGGACCUUAGAGCCUCUUGCCCUCGGAUGUGCCCAGUCGGGAUUAGCUAGUAGGUGAGGUAACGGCUCACCUAGGCGACGAUCCCUACCUGGUCUGAGUGGAUGACCAGCCACACUGGAACUGAGACACGGUCCAGACUCCUACGGGAGGCAUCAGUGGGGAAUAUUGCACAAUGGACGGAAGCCUGAUGCAGCCAUGCCGCGUGUAUGAAGAAAGCCUUCGGGUUGUAAAGUACUUCCAGCGGGGAGGAAGGAAGUAAAGUUAAUACCUAUACUCAUUGACGUUACCCGCAGAAGAAGCACCGGCUAACUCCGUG
rnacentral:rRNA from 1 species